rnacentral:lncRNA from 1 species
UAAAACAUUAUUAAUCGUAUUGUCGCAACUGAAAUGCCAAAAAGUGAAUGAUCUGUAACAACUUAUUAAUAGUAAUUAUUAUUUAAAUAGGUUUUUAGUAAUAAACUGUUUGCAUAGAGAAUAAACGAUGUUGAACGGUAGUAAAUCGGUUAUAGAUCAUUAUUAAGCACACACACACGUGCAGUACGUGUAUAUAAAGCACUGAAAACCCAAACUUGAAUUAUCCAACUAGCUUCGUUGUCUCUGAUUCACUGAUUUUCCUCUGAGCUACGCUUCAGCAGUACAAACUGUUGACUCCUGAAGUUAAAAAUGAAGAUAAUCUGUGGGUUCGUUAUCUUCACUCUCCUGUCUUCAACCUUAGUAGUGGGAUUGCCACAGUUCUUGGACGUACCAGACCAGCACGUUGCGUUAGUUGUGGAUGCAGACGCCUACCAAAAUGUGGAUGCAGAGGAAUACAAUGAUCCAUAUGUCAUUAAUGGUCCAAAUCGCACACCACCCCCCUGCCCUCCAGGGCAAAAAAUAUACUGGUAGAGGUUGCAGAGAUGUGGCGCGAAUCAUUUGUGAGUUUUAAAACUUGAAUUAUUUAAGACCUUAAUACCCACACUUAGAGUACGUUCUUUCUGGUAAGGGUUAUUUUGAUGCGAAGACCGGCCAGUUGGUAUCUAAUACGUAAUAGUAGUCCAGCCAUCUAGACCUAACACUCUGGUAAUGUCGAAAUAUCCAAAAUUGUAAUGAAGUCUGCAGUAUAAAUAGGUCAAUAUGAGUUUGAAACCUUUCCGAAAUUGUGUAUGAUGUUUUUAGAAAUAUCUCUUUAUGAUAGAAACCUGUUAAUCUUACUUUUUGUUAUUUAUUGAAUUAUACUUUUUCAGUUAUGGGUGUCUACCUCACAAUGUACGUUUUAUUACAUAUUACAUAUAAAAGUAAUGCAAAAAUAAAGCUUAUGCGUUAAACAUAAGUUUUUAUUUUAUAUUCAUAUUCCAAUAAUAUAAUUACCUGUUAAAAUUAAAAAAAAAAAAACUAGAAAAAUACGUUUCGUGCAGUGACCGUAGUUUUACGUUUCACUGAAAUUCAUCUUCAGACCGGAAACGCUGUAGUUAUAAAAUCACGAUAUGGAACGUAGUCGCCUUUUACAUAGCCGGUUUUAUACGCUAGGAUUUCUCUCUACUCGUUUUAAUUAACCAAUGGAUUUUCGGAUGCCUAACUUCUAACUCCUAACUGUCAUAAACUAUAUCCAUAAAAGGGUCUUUGUACAUUCUUUAUGUGCCGUCGUGAUCAGGCCAAAAUCCACCCGUAUGGGAAAUGACAAUGGAAAUCACGCGGAUGAACAUCAAACUGUCCUGUGUGGUGACUACAAAAUCAAAGUUCCUCAAACAGACGAGACGCAUUAUACGCUAAAGAGAGAAUUCAUGUAUCCUGAAAAGCCAAAUAAGACCUCUAUGACUCAACUUCAGGACAAAGGUGAACUACAGUUCGGGUUGUGAUCAGGGCCGAAAGUCAUCUUUGUAAAAGUGAGUGAGUAAUUUGUAAAACUGAUAUUGGAUACGUUUUUCUUGAACCAAAAUAUCCCCAUGAAGCAAGUUUCGAAAACAUCCGUUUUGCAAUCUAAAACUUGAAUUUAUUAAUCACAACCAUUCAUGGUAUUUCUAAAAAUAGGGAAACAUAAUAAAAACUUCACUUACGAGGACUUUGUUGUAUUUAUAGUAGAAAACGAGUAAUUUUGUAACUAGACGUAAGAAAAGCUGGUAAAGUUGAGCGAUGGAGUGUUUCAGAGCAAAUAUAAUAAAUUUACUUCAGGAAAUGUUUUAUCUGAUAUUGUAAGUAACAAAGUCUUUAAUUAAAGAUGAUAUUGGGUACCAAAACUGUUGAUAUACAGGUACAUAGAAAGUGAGAUUCUUUUCAGUAAUAUUUGGUAUAAAUAGUCUAAGAAAUGCACAUCCUUAUCUUCAAGCAUUUCCUUUAGGUCAGAUUUCAAGUUGCUCCUUAUUUAGCGCUUUGAAAAAAAUGUCCCCCGAAAUGAUGAUUAAUUCUAAUUUUCCAAAAAUUAAAAAAUUUGGAUUAUGGAAAAUGGCCAAAAUUUAGGAACUUCGUGAGUGACGACCUGUGGUCAUGUUACAGUAAGCUGCUGAUGAAUGUGCUGAAUUACUUACCACCUGCUAUGAUUAUUCUGGACAUCUGAUUCUACAAUACCACUUCAAUCAUCCUAUUGACUAUAUUUAAUGUGAUAAAUUGCACUUAACAAUAAACCAAUUGUGUCAUUGCAA